CUUCAGGAAGCCUCCAUAACCUGCUAGACAGGAAACUCUUCCAAGAGAAAAUAAAAUUUGUCCCUGUAUCUGUGGUGGGUUCCCUGUGCAACUUGGAACUGGGGAGAGUUGAAAGCCAUCAUUUGGUAGGGAGGAGGCAAUAUGGAUUCAGUGUCACGAGAGAAGACUCACAGCUUGGUCAUCACAUCGCUUCUCUGAAAAUAUCCAAAGGCAACUGCAGAACAUCAGUGAUGAAGAAGUUGUUGUUUGAUUGCUUGAAUUUCAACAUUAUGAGGUCAAUGCCUUUGCUCUCCACUUAUGAAAGCAGAAUGACACACUCUUCACUCAGCCACUCAAGCUGAAGAAUGACUCAAGAACCCUGUGAAGGUCAAAUGCAUUUUCACCCAACUGAUGCUCUUGUAAAACUGACUUAACCCUCCUUGUGCAUUUCUGCACAGCAUGGAAGUUAGCUGUGCAGCUCCAAAUCAGAUGAAAGUGCGGUGAGACCUUCCUUUUGUAGAGCUCUUUUGUUUUAAGCAGAACAAAUUCCCUAUAAGCAGAACUGUAAUUUGCACAUUGGAACGCCUUCUGCCUAUAAUGAUCUCGCCGGCAGAAAGCACUGUCAUUUCACAAAUGGCCCCACAGUGCUCCCCAAAGCUGUGCAAAAGUGUACAGACACAAACUGACAAAGAAACUAAUACAGGCCCUGAUCCUGCAAUGGACAUCUAGGGUACAAUGAGGGCGGCUCUAUCAGAUUGGAGAGAUAACACUUUGCUCGCAGUAUGCCACAGCAGACAAGGCAAUGUGAGAGAGAACGGAAAGGAAGCUUGGAUCCACUGUGGGCCGGCGGAGAAACAUGUUACAUUAAUAUUUAAAUGUGUUUCAGUAAGUGAAUGUAACCCACUGAAUGCCAUCUGUGUGGAGGGGGAAAAAAAAGGCAAGACCACCUAAGCACAGUAUAUUCAGACCUGAGAAGUCCACAAAUCAAAGAAUCACCGAAUUUGUUGAGUUGGAAGGGCCUCAUCAGGUUCAUUGAGUCCAGUUCCUGGUGCUUCACAGGACACACCAAGAAUCACACCAUGCGCCUGAGAGCUUUGUUCAAAUAAUCCUGGAACUCUGUCAGGCUUGGUGCUGUGCCCAUUCCCUGGAGAGCCUGUUCCUGUGCCCAACCACCCUCUGGGGGAAGAACCUUUCCUGAUAUCCAACCCACACCUCCCCUGACAUAACUUCGGGCCACUCGCCCAGGUCCUGUCUGUCCCUGGUCGCCACAGUGCAGAGAUCAGUGCCUGCCCCUCCUAUUCCCAUCUGACUUCCUUAUGCUUUUGCAGAAGAACAGAGAUGACAUAACCCACUGGCAGAUCUUUGCAGUGCCAACCACUAAUUCCCUGAGCAGGGAAAUCAAAGUAGCUGGGGGACCAGCAGCCUUAAUGAGCCUCACACUGAAAGAAACUUCACUAGAAAAGGGAUGGUGCUUUUCCAGGCUCUCCUGCACAUCUCAUAGUGUUCCACAACUUUCAGGUUGCAGAUUUUUCCUCGUAAUGCUGAUCAGAACCAUGAAGAAAUACCUAUGUUAUACAGCCAUAUUCUCAAACAGCAGUGAGCGCUGCAGCACUAAGAGGACUGGUGGCAGAACAUGGCCCUGUAACUCAUAGUUCUGUGCAACACAAGUUUUUCUUGGUAUUAUGACAAUAUUGAGUUCUGAGCACACAUUGAAGAAACUUUCCUUCAAGUUAGGAUAGCAAAAAGAGAGAAUAAAAGCCACUUAUGCUGAACUUCCUGGUUGGAUCUGGACAUUUAUACUACAUUUCUGAUGGUCUCCCUUGCAACAGUCAAAGAUAUCUGUGAAGAGGAUGUAGAAGGAGAAAGAGAUGAGGAAUAAGACUAAAAAAUACAGAAACAAAAAACAGUCAAAAAGGAUUAAACUUGGUUCUCAGAAAAAGGAAGCAUGAGAAAAAGGUAGAA